rnacentral:snRNA from 1 species
GUGCUUGCUUUGGCAGCACAUAUACUAAAAUUGCAAUGAUACAGAGAAGAUUUGCAUGGCCCCUGUGCAAGGAUGACAUGCAAAUUCGUGAAGCAUUCCAUAUUCUU